GGAUGUGAGGGUGAUCUGGCUGUGACAUCUGUCACUCCAUUGAUCUCUAGGCUGAUCUGGCUGGCUAAAUCUGUGUCCCCUUCCUCCCUCACCAUUCCUCCCAAGGUUGCACACAUUCUCUCAGUUGAAGAGGAUGACCUUCUCCAGUGAUCUUUCUUAGAUCAAGGAUUUGUGAGUAGCUGUGCUCCUCUGCUAGAACCUCCAAACAAGCUCUCAAGACCUUUAAGCUAAAUUGCAAUUUUGUCCUUUAACAAAAGUCUCAGUUUGAAAUAAGCAAGACCUGCUUUCUCUCCUUU
ensembl:misc_RNA 7SK 7SK RNA